rnacentral:rRNA from 1 species
CAAGCGUUAUCCGGAUUCACUGGGUUUAAAGGGUGCGUAGGCGGAUAUGUAAGUCCGUGGUGAAAUCUCUGGGCUUAACCCGGAAACUGCCAUGGAUACUAUGUGUCUUGAAUGUUGUUGAGGUGAGCGGAAUAUGUCAUGUAGCGGUGAAAUGCUUAGAUAUGACAUAGAACACCAAUUGCGAAGGCAGCUCACUAAGCAAAUAUUGACGCUGAGGCACGAAAGCGUGGGGAUCAAACAGG